rnacentral:sRNA from 1 species
UCCCCCCAGCACACCUCGACAGAUGAAACGCAUGUCAACCAAACACCAGAGGAAUAAUGUGGGGAGGCCAGCCAGUCGGUCUAAUUUGAAAGGUGUCCGUCAGAUCUCCCAUGCUGUUUCUUCCUUCUUAAAUUGAAGAAAAAAUGAAUGCACCAAAUCAGCCUCCACAUAAAGACACUGGAAAAACAGUGGAGAAUGUGGAAGAAUACAGCUAUAAGCAGGAGAAAAAGAUCCGAGCAGCUCUUAGAACAACAGAGCGUGAUCAUAAAAAAAAUGUACAGUGCUCAUUCAUGUUAGACUCAGUGGGUGGAUCUUUGCCAAAAAAA